GUGGAUUAGAUACCCUGGUAGUCCACGCAGUAAACGAUGAAUACUAACUGUUUGCGAUAUACAGUAAGCGGUACAGCGAAAGCGUUAAGUAUUCCACCUGGGGAGUACGUUCGCAAGAAUGAAACUCAAAGGAAUUGACGGGGGCCCGCACAAGCGGAGGAACAUGUGGUUUAAUUCGAUGAUACGCGAGGAACCUUACCCGGGCUUGAAAUGCAGAAGACGAAGAGUGAAAGCUUUUUUCCAGCAAUGGCUUCUGUGUAGGUGCUGCACGUCUGUCGACAGCU
rnacentral:rRNA from 1 species